rnacentral:rRNA from 1 species
GGAGUUAGCCGGUGCUUCUUCUGUGAGUGAUGUCCUUCCUGCCGGCUAUUAACCCGCAGGCCUUCUUCCUCACUGAAAGUGCUUUACAACCCGAAGGCCUUCUUCACACACGCGGCAUGGCUGGAUCAGGGUUGCCCCCAUUGUCCAAUAUUCCCCACUGCUGCCUCCCGUAGGAGUCUGGGCCGUGUCUCAGUCCCAGUGUGGCUGAUCAUCCUCUCAGACCAGCUACGGAUCGUCGCCUUGGUGAGCCGUUACCUCACCAACCAGCUAAUCCGACAUAGGCUCAUCCGAUAGCGCGAGGCCCGAAGGUCCCCCGCUUUCCCCCGUAGGGCGUAUGCGGUAUUAGCCUGGGUUUCCCCAGGUUAUCCCCCACUACCGGGCAGAUUCCUAUGCAUUACUCACCCGUCCGCCGCUCGCCACCAGGGAGCAAGCUCCCCGUGCUGCCGCUCGACUUGCAUGUGUAGCUGCCGCCACGCGUCAUACUACGACGAGAUACAACUACUCGA